rnacentral:rRNA from 1 species
CCUACGGGAGACAGCAGUGAGGAAUAUUGGUCAAUGGGCUUACGCCUGAACCAACCAAGUCGCGUGAGUGAAGAAGUAUUUCGGUAUGUAAAGCUCUAUCAGCAGGGAAGAAAAUGACGGUACCUGACUAAGAAGCCCCGGCUAACUACGUGCCAGCAGCCGCGGUAAUACGUAGGGGGCAAGCGUUAUCCGGAUUUACUGGGUGUAAAGGGAGCGUAGACGGCAGAGCAAGUCUGAAGUGAAAGCCCGCGGCCCAACUGCGGGACUGCUUUGGAAACUGCCCGGCUAGAGUGCUGGAGAGGUAAGCGGAAGUCCUAGUGUAGCGGUGAAAUGCGUAGAUAUUAGGAGGAACACCAGUGGCGAAGGCGGCUUACUGGACAGUAACUGACGUUGAGGCUCGAAAGCGUGGGGAGCAAACAGGAUUAGAUACCCCAGUAGUC